rnacentral:rRNA from 1 species
UAUGUAGGGGGCAAGCGUUGUCCGGAUUUACUGGGCGUAAAGGAUGCGUAGGCGGCCAUUUAAGUCAGAUGUGAAAUACCCGAGCUUAACUUGGGUGCUGCAUUUGAAACUGGGUGUCUAGAGUGCAGGAGAGGUAAGUGGAAUUCCUAGUGUAGCGGUGAAAUGCGUAGAGAUUAGGAAGAACACCAGUGGCGAAGGCGACUUACUGGACUGUAACUGACGCUGAGGCAUGAAAGCGUGGGGAGCAAACAGG